rnacentral:rRNA from 1 species
GAACGCUGGCGGCGUGCUUAACACAUGCAAGUCGAACGCGGAAAGCCCCAGCUUGCUGGGGUGGACUCGAGCGGCGAACGGGUGAGUAACACGUGAGUAACCUGCCCCUAGACUCUCGGGAUAAGCCCGGGAAACUGGGUCUAAUACCGGAUACGACCAUNCACCCGCAUGNGGUCGAUGGUGGAAAGUUUUUUCGGCUGGGGAUGGACUCGCGGCCUAUCAGCUUGUUGGUGAGGUAAUGGCUCUACCAAGACGACGACGGGUAGCCGGCCUGAGAGGGCGACCGGCCACACUGGGACUGAGACACGGCCCAGACUCCUACGGGAGGCAGCAGUGGGGAAUAUUGCACAAUGGGCGGAAACCCUGACGCAGCGACGCAGCGUGCGGGAUGAAGGCCUUCGGGUUGUAAACCGCUUUCACCACCGAAGAAGCGAAAGUGACGGUACCUGCAGAAGAAGCACCCGCUAACUACGUGCCAGCAGCCGCGGUAAUACGUAGGGUACGCAAGCGUUGUCCGGAAUUAUUGGGCG